GAGUAGAUAGCUAAAUUUUAAGUUUAUUGGUUACGUUGAUAGGAUGUUGACGAAACUUUACUUA
rnacentral:tRNA from 1 species